CGUCGCUGUUGGUUUGGUGUCUUUUUUGGCUCCUGCUGUGGCUGCCAGAUGAAAACUCAGCAUUGGAAACAAAAUUGACCUUCUGUUGUUCUGUUGCCACACAACAUCUAGCUUUACAUUCAACUCAAGCGGUCAAAUUUUCCCCCCUAUACCUUCAAAUGAACAGAACCGAACAGAACUGAACCUAUGGAGCGCUGGAUGUUACACCAGGUUGGUGAAGAAUGGGAGCAAGAAGAAGAUCAGGAGAGGAGGAAAGAGCGAGGAAAUUUAAGGGAAGGUUUGAAGAGAAAUGACAGGAUGAGAUCGCGGUAAAAUGAGAGCGGAUGGAGAAGUGAUUAAAAGGGAAGAAGGGAUGGAGAAGAAAACUUGAGUAAAAAUCAGGAAAACAGAUGAGGUGAGAAGAAAAUACAAACUAAGACAUAAAGGGAAGAAAGGGAGAGGGGAUUUCUGAUGAGGGAACAGAUAAAAAAGAAAGUAAAUCCAAUCGGCUCUUAUUGAAGAGACAGCCAGACUUGGAAAACAAAACCUAUUUGACAAGAGAGGAGUAAAAGCCCAAUGAAUCCCAGCAGACUGAAUUCUGGCUCUUUAUUCCAUCUGUUUCUGUUCGCUGCUGCUGGAAGGAAAGCUGCAGGCCCGGCCCACCACCGUGACUGGGUCAUACAAGACUUGGAAAGUGCAUCUCCUUCAAGAUUUACACCCACGCACACAAUCCUGGGAGAGUAGGCCUGACGCCAGAGCACAACAUGAACCAGCUGUUCUCCUGCUCUUGCAUUCGACCAACCAACAGCUCCAACCAUGACUGACAGGCAAGGGGGAAAAAUCUGGUGCUAACUGUAAUUCUGAUCUUGCAUAACAGACUUGAGGCAAAAGAUAAGUCCGGGGAUUUCUUGCCUCCAGAUGUCCUGAAUUUGCCAGCACUUGACCCAGUGACCUGACUGUUAGUCACAAGACCUGCUAUCCGUGGAUGUCAGACAUUAGCUGAACUGCAGCAACUAAAUCACCAAACAAAACUCCCGUGGUCUUAACAUUAAAUCUAUACCUUCUGUUCCAGGGACAGAUUUGGAGGUAAAUCUACUGUUUCCUCCACGGGAAAAAUAAAGAGGCCACUCAUUCUCAAAUGUCCACAGCUCCAUAACUUCAGAAAAAGAUAAGGCAUAUUUUGCUGUCAUAAAAUCCAGAAAUAAAAGAGGCAUUUGGAGUUUAACAACCCUCAUUUUUGCCCAGUACUCAUUUUGACUGGUGAUAAUUAAAGCCUGCACAUGUAGCAUGCAUGAACAACAUAUUGUUUUUAAUGAAUCUCCAUUGGCACCAUUAUGGGCUCUCCUGCUGUUAAGAGCUUUUAUGACCCCCUAUUGCCAAUAGGAAGGCACUUUGAGCGUAAAGAAAGGGGAAUCUUUAACCAUCCUCAAUGCACAGUCCUAAAUUUUCUCUUCAUUUGAGCAGACCCCAAAGAUUUUCUGUUGGGUUUAGGUCUGACAAUCGUUGGACCCUGGAAAAGAUUGAUUUUAUAUCAUGUUUUGAAUCAGUAUAAUCCUGAAAACCAAGCAAAAACACAUUUUAUUUAAGCUUCUCAGUGUUUAGACAGUGUUAAAAGAAACAGACCCACAGCAUAACCGAUACUCUACCAUACCUAAAAGUAGCUUUGUUUUCAUUACAAAUGUGCUCAAAACUUUGUCAAUAUUUCGCUAAUUUCAAAAAAGCUACAUUUUGUAAUUGCAUUAAAUAAGAAAAACUGUUGAAAUCAGAUGUGAAUAACUUUGUUCAUGCAACAAUCAUUUAAAAAACAUGCCAUGCCGAUAUCCUCCAACGUCCUGUUGUCUAUUUCUUCUUGGUUUGUACCAGUGGUGACAUCUGGUUGUUGAUCAUGUGACUCAUGUGA